GGGAAUGUUGCCUACGUUUUGUGGUUGCAUUUGUAUGAUACCUAAAGAAAAAAGAAGUUCAUCUGACUCAAUUAUUUAUAUUAAUUUCAGGGUGUGUUGCCUGUAAUGUUUGGAUGUUCUCUCUGUGCAUAUUGAAUAUGCCCUUGUAUUUGAUAGUUAUAAGUGUUUUCGUAAUUCUUAUAGAUGAGAAAAACAACCACCUGAGACAACUUUUAAUACUUAUUGAUGAAGAACCCGACUAUUUUUUUUAUAUUUGAAUAGAUGAUGACUAAAUGACUACGACUACCUGACGUAUUUUUGAUACUUAUUGAUAAAAAAAACAGAAUCAUCAGAGGCAAUCUUUAAUUCUAAUUGUUGAGAGUUCGGCCACAGUGCCCCCCACCCGAAAAAGAUCUGUAUAAAAUUGGGUUAUCAAAUCUUGAUUUAGCAGAAGUUGUGUUCUGUUAUUUUAUUUUUUUUAAUUUUACAAUUUUACCUGAACAUUGAAAGAUAUUGUAUUUAUAUACCAUAUAUAAACUAUGCAGGCUGAUUUGGGUGUCCUUUUCUAAUUUUGAUACAAGUGCACAUGC
rnacentral:lncRNA from 1 species